AGUGGGGAAUCUUGCGCAAUGGGCGAAAGCCUGACGCAGCAACGCCGCGUGGGGGAUGAAGGCUCUCGGGUUGUAAACCCCUUUCAGUAGGGACGAAUCAAGACGGUACCUACAGAAGAAGCCCCGGCCAACUACGUGCCAGCAGCCGCGGUAACACGUAGGGGGCAAGCGUUGUCCGGAUUUAUUGGGCGUAAAGAGCUCGUAGGCGGUUCGGUAAGUCGGGUGUGAAACCUCCAGGCUCAACCUGGAGACGCCACCCGAUACUGCUGUGACUCGAGUCCGGUAGGGGAGCGUGGAAUUCCUGGUGUAGCGGUGAAAUGCGCAGAUAUCAGGAGGAACACCAGCGGCGAAGGCGGCGCUCUGGGCCGGAACUGACGCUGAGGAGCGAAAGCGUGGGUAGCAAA
rnacentral:rRNA from 1 species